GUUUUUACUUAAAAAUAAGUUGAGCCGUUGUCAUCAUUCCAAUAUUUUUUGUCUGUCGCUUGUGUGCACUAGUUUGAACGUUUCCCUACCAUGUCAACGAACAACAAUCGCCAAGAAAACAGUGAGAGAUCGGUGGUGACCAGUGUAAACUCCAACCAGGACAACAAUUUCGAUAACACGAAUGGUCAGACGCAUACUUUCACUUGGAGCACGCAUCAACAACUCCACCAACAAUUGCAUCAGCAAUUGUCGAACGGUCCUGAGUUACGUCAACGUGGUAAUGCAGCAAUAACGAACCAACAGAAUUUGUAAUUUGUACGAACCCAUGCCGUCAGUAAAGUUCUCGUCAAUUUAAAA